CCAGGCGUCUCUGAUUCUUGAGUGGGGGUACCGCACGCAUCUUUAUCAACCAUUUCAUCUUCUGAAAGAUCCAAGAAUAGGAAACAAGAAACAAACAACUGUUUUUCCGUCAGUUCGAUAAAGAAAAGAUGACAACUUACCACCAUCACGUCGCACUGGUUUUUCAGCUGGUAUUGAUGAAAUAAGAGCACCAUUUAAUGCACCAAGUACUUGUGAUGAUACUGAUUGACUCAUCUAACAAGAAAUGAGAAUGAGUUGAGGAAAAAUGGGUUGAGGAUAUUGGCCAACAUAGAUCUGAGAAGCAGUCUGGGUGUGAAUACACCUGGAAAGAGCCUAACAAUGUAAUCGGGGACAAUACUGGAUGAAAGUGGAUGUUUGGAUUCUGGGGAAUACUAAAAGGAAAUAAAACGGUCAUUAAAUAUACACCGAUCAAAGUUCGCUUAAAAAACACGCGCGUGUGUCGUAAAAAAUGCAAAGCUUAGCAAAUUGACAAGACGACAAGGAAGGAAGGAAGCGGUGAAGCCAUGCAUGCGUGCAUGCAUGUCUGUGAAAUGUCCUUCCCUUGUCUGUGAUUUGCCGCUGAUAACAAAGGCUUCGCAACGUGGUUUUAGAUCUUCAGAGAUCUUCAUUUUUUCACACUUGAUCCCAGGGACGCAACCUGAGGAUCCUGCAUGUGCAAGCUUCUCUGUUUCCCUCCUGCCGGUUGAAAGUACUUCAUUUGGGAAAUGGUCGAGACGUUUGCAGAGCUUCAGCAAAAACAGGACUUGAUGUUGUAGGAAAAAGGAUUUGAAGGUUUAACAGCUUUCUCUUCGUUAAUGCUGUGACUGGUAACCAAAUAAUUCAUGUAUAAUAGUCGAUAUUGAGAGAAAACCCUGAUUUUCAAAUUGAAGGCAUCCUUCAAAAACAAUGCUUGAUUAACGAUCCAACUAAUAAACACGUGGACAAACCAGAAACACAUGUUCCACUCACAUGCACAUACGUAUAAUAUAAAAAGAAUAAAUUCACGCAACUUCUCUUGAGAUAUUGAGAAAGCGAAAAGCUUCAUCAGCUGAGGUAUAUUAGAGCUUCAUAUAUUUGCAAAUCUCGUAAAUUGUUCAAGUGAAGGCAUCAGUUGAGUUGAAGAGUUGGUGCUAUACUUUUCUGGUCAAGGGCGAGACUUGGAUCUGAGAAAAUUGGGCGAGGUGAUAAUUGUGUCUGGAGGCAAAAAAU